AUCGAAGUCCUCACGGGACAGAUGAUUUUCCAUUCCUUAUAUAGGAGCUAUGAGAAAUAUAAUUAAACGAAAUGAAAAAGAUUGCCUGUUAGCUGCUCAUCCAGAUCCCAAACGAUUUAUUGAGUAUAAACCUUACGGGGGGCUGGUUGUGAAGAAAUGUGAUGAGGGCCUCAUCUUCAGUUCAAAUCAGUGUUCGUGUAACUGGAGCCGAACUAUGGGUACUAGUAAUACACUUGCAGCGAUUUUAAUCAAUUUACAUUAAAUAUCAAUUUAAUUGCACAGAAGUCAUUCCAUAAUAUGACUAAAUAUUUAGUCCAAAACAUAAAUG